GUACCGAGUAGGAUUAAAACAAUUGUUGCAUACCCGUAGGCCGUCUCGUUGGUUUCGCCAACCCGCAAAAGAUCCUGCAUAUUAAUUAUAGAUUAGUUAGUUAAAUAAUUUAAAAAAAAUUAAAUUACCUAAGCACUUAAUAAUCUUGUACUUUAAAUAUUGUAAGAAAUUAAAAGUUUUUAAUAAUUUAAUUUAUUAGUUUGUGUGUUGGUAUCUCAGCCAGAGUUUUAAUAAUUGAAAGACUAAAGUAUUUAAAUUUAGAAAUUAGUACAGGUAGACUGUUCUCUACCAAAGAAAAUAUUAGCAUACGGUGCAGAAUAAAUCCUUCUGAAGAACAUACAUGGCAUACUACUCAUAGCCAACUAAAUUUAAUUGUCGACCUCAUUCAUAACUUUUAUAUAACUUGGGGAAAAAAGCAAGAUAAUCUAGACCAAAAAUUUGAAAGUCUGUUAAAAGAACACAAUAAGUUAGUAGAAAAAUAUACAGGCUUGAAUAAUAAAAUCGAUCUAGUUCUACAGAAAUUAGAAGAAUCGAAAGGUAGAAACCUUAUAAUUUGUAAGAACAACGACUAUAUCAAAGAAGAAGUUUUAUCCAUAGGUAAGAAUCUUAAGUGGUGUCGUAAAUAAGAAUAAAGAUUCAUUAUCAAGUGCUGAAAUAAGACGCGAUAUACUUGAAGUUAAAAGGUUAAUACAAGAAGUAAAGACUCUAGUCGUAUCAUAACUUGAAUGAGUGAAUAUAACCAAGCAUUAAAAGAAGUAGAAAAAUACUUAAUACCUCCUGUCGGAUUUUCAAAUCACGAUUCGCCAAAAGAAGAUUCCAGAAUAAUUAUAAGACAGAAUAACACAAUUCGACAACUACUAGUCCAGAUUUUGGAAAAGCUAAAUACUAAACGAGGUAACAAUGAGUUGAUAUUAUCUUCAUCCGGAAUAGUCUCUUCCUCUAAAAAUAUUAAUUCCGAAAAAUGGAACUAUCUAAAAGCCUCUCUAGAAGAGACAAGACCAUCCAGUUAAUAAGGCAAGAUUCUAGGCCGCUAACCAUGAUGAAUACGAUAUCAUGCAGAAGUGACGACAUAGAUAAUUUAGAAGAGGUUAUAGACAUGGAAUGCGAAUUAGAAAGAUAUCAGAGAGACACUUAAGAAAAAUAAGACCGCAACAGGUAUAUCACAUGGCAUAUUUGAAAGUAAAAGCGGAUUAUACAAAAUAUCUAGAGAAGUAGAAUUAAGUGUGUUAACGCAUCUGGUUGAUUUAUGAAUUGUUAGAAAAACAUAUUGAGAAUGAACUUAAAUAUUCAGGUUACAAAUAUAUUCACCAAGGGAUGUAUAUUAUUGGAGGAAAAGGAAUGACAAGAAAGAAAUUAGGAACGAAGGUAUUAAUUACAUUACUUGAUAAAAGAUGGGAGUCGGUAGACAAAGCAUCACUAGGCUUUAUGGAAGGAGAUAUGAAUGAAAAUAGAUUAAUAACAUAUAUAGCUCCAGACUUAAUGAUGCCUGUAAAAGAAUUUAUUGAGAAAAUGAGCUUUGGGUUUCAAACCAACGGAUAUGAAGAUUUUAAAGGAACAAAUUUGUUAGUAAGCAUUGAAUUAAUAGGAAGACUCAUGAAUAAAAGCAGCUCUAGAUACAAAGUAAACGUAAAUGACGUAAUAGAGAGCAUGCAAUCUAAAGGCAUAAAAUUUAUGAGCCCUCUUAAAAUUGGUUCUGAAGAGAGAGUAGGAGAAGAAUGGAAUAUAAGUGAAUUAAUAGAAAAGAAAGAGUUGAAGCAGCCAAAAAAUUAUAUAAGCUACCAAAAUAGCGAAGGAAGUAGUAGCAUUAGAUUCUUGAACUAUAAAUCUGCAGCCCUAGACGAAAUAGAACCUCUUUUGUCAGAAGCAGAGAGUAGUGAUAGUAGGAAUAAAGGAGUAAAAGAAUGCAUGGAAAAGGCAGACUUAGAAGAUGAAUUAAAACAUUGGGAAGAAAAAUUAAAACGCAUAAACUGGGAAUAUAAUAAUUCAAUGACAUCAGAUUGGCCUAAAAUAAGAGAAAGAGAAUUAUUCUUUAUUAGAGAAAUUUCGAGAAUAAAAGAUUAAUAAAGGAUAAAAAAACUAGUCAUUAGUAACCCAGUGGUGCCAAAGAAUAAUAUUAAAUGCGAAGAAAAUACCGAUAUUAAGAAUAAAGUCGAAAGUCAUAAGGACAAAGCCAUAAGUGAAGAAGAUCAAUGGGAUAUCAAUAAUAAGCUAAUAUUGGAGAGUUAUGAAGAAGAAGAAGAACCAUGGGAUGAAUAUGAAAAUAAAAAAUUAUAUUGAUUCUGAGCAAAAUGCUGAUUUUAUAAACUCGUUAGAUGACGAAAGUCUGCAUAAUUUAGAAAAUGUGAUGGAAGCCAUGGAAGUAGAUUUAGGUGGUCAUAAAAGAAGAGGAUAUGGCGAGUCUUCUGUAAAAAGAGAAGGAGAAAGAGAGAGACCUACUCGAUCAGCUGGAAAAUGGCCUCCUGAAAAAGAUGAUUAUCAACCUACAUAUAUCCCUGGACAAUAUACAUUUAUGGGUUCUAAAAGAAGAGGUUUUGAAAAAGUAGUGCAGUUCCAAAACUCUAGGAAUGAUGGUGCAAUUCUGAAUUUAGCAGCCCAUGACCCUGUAGAUUGGCCGAAUAUAAUUAGUGUGUGGAAAGGAUUAAUAGUCCAAAAAUAUAUAUAGAAUCAAUAUAAUAUAGGGAAUAAGGUGGAACAUAUGAUAACAUAUCUUGAAACAUUUUUGGGAGAAUCAGUAAAAAUAUUAUGGGAACAAUGGGUAGAGACAUAUCCAGACCAAUACGAAGAACUAAAAAGAGCUGGGAGUAAUCCUAAUAACUUUGCCAAUGUCAUAUCAAAUAUGGUCAUAGCAGAAGAUCCAGAAUUGGGUCAUACCACAUUGCAAAAUGAAAGGUUGAGAGAAAUAGAAAAAUUAACUUUAACAAGUUGGAAAGGUAUAAAUGAAUUUUCUCAACAUUAUUUAUACAAUGCUACCACAGCUAAGCAAGGCUACAAUAAAGGUGUGGUUGAAAGGUAUCUUAAUAAGUUCCAGAUCCAUUAGGAUCAAUAAUAUUUGAAGAAUAUAAGAAAGAUAGUGCGGGCAUAGACAUAAAUAUAUCUCAAGCUAUAACUUUCGUGGUUAAACAUCUUAGAAACGUAUGUACAAGUAUACAAGCCCAGAGGUCUAUGAAGAAAUCUGAUUAUAAUUUCUGCAAUAAAAUCGUCCAAAUACCACUUACAUAUGGAGAAGAAAGACACAAGAGUAAGAAAUAUUAUAAACCACAAAGAGAUAGUAGAAAUUUUAGAACAAAGAAAAGAUAUUUCUUACGAAAAUCGGAUAAUAGAGCCCCAUUCUUGCAUAAAAGAAAUGUUAGAAGAUAUAAUCCUAGAAAAUCAUAUGAUAAAACAUGUAGAUGUUUCACAUGCAAUUCACCUGAUCAUCUAAGUAAAACUUGCCCUAAUAAAGAUCAGAAAAGGUACUCUAGUAAAUAUGAAGAGCAAGAGAGAGUAUUAAUUAUAGAUAGUGUUAAUGAGAAUAUAUUAGUAUGUGAUGAUGAAAUAAAAGAUGACGAGUCAAUAUACCCCAUUAUAGAAACAGAUGAAAUAGAAAAUGAAGAGCUAGAAGAAGAAUCUAGUGAAUAUGAAAUAGAUUUAAUAGAUGAUCUAUCAGGAUUAAAAGUAGAGAUGAUGAACCAGGUAGAUUGUGAACAUGAUUGGAUAAGGGCAAAAGGUGAUUAUAAUAUAAAAUGUGCCUUUUUCAUAUAUUACCACAGCCAAGAGAAUAGGUAUACAUGUAGUUUAUGCUUAAGACAAGCUUGUAACUCAUGCCUAAAAUCUACAAAUCAAAGGUGGAGACAAGAAAUAGAAUAUGAACAUGAAGAUAGAAUAUUAUCUAGGAGCGUUAGAAAUCUAGAAAAUAGACUAAAUAAGUUAGAGGCAGAACUAGAAGAUCUAAGAUCUAACUUAGAAAAUAAAGCAAAUACAGAAGAAGAGAACAUUAUAGUUGAAGGCACGGAAAUAGAGGACCAAAUAAUAACAGAAAGAGAUCAAAUAUUAGAACCAAAGAAAUAGCAAGAUAGGUUCUACCAGAACAUGGGAGACAACAUAACAGAGAAUAGAUAUAAAGUCAUACAUGAUCAUGUUAAAGGCAAAUAAAAUAAUUUACAUAACUUAUUUCUCUGAUCAUCAUUUCUACAGGAAUGAAGAAAAACACACUUGUUGGAGGAAGUGAAAGCUACAUAUCUGGAAAUAACACCAGAAUAAGGAUAUUACCGCCAAAUACAUUCAAUUUCAAACCAAAAGAUCAUAUCCAUGUUUAUGAUAUGGAAGAUGCUUAUUGGAGAUUAAGGACAUAAUCAGAAGACAAGAAAAAGGAUGUUUUACGGGUUGACAAAACCAACGAGACAACCUACGGGUAUGCAGCAGUUGUGUUAAUCCUACUCGGUACUCUCCGUAUUCAUCACUAUGUUGCUUCAGAAGCAGCUAAGUUCUUUCACUUGAUGUUUAUAUUAAAAAUUUAUUUGAUGAAUUCUAACCGUCUUCCCAGGCAGUUCCAUCCAAAGGGAACACUUCUCUACAGCCACAAGGUUCUCAUUCAAACGCCACACAUCGGCUAAACAGAGAACUACCGGCAGAGGUUUCUCCUAUAGGAUCCCUAGCGUAAGAACUCAUUUCAUAAAUUCAUAAUAU